rnacentral:rRNA from 1 species
AAUCUGGGCCAUACCACUCUGAAUGUUCCUGAUCUCCUCUGAUCUCAGAAGCUAAGCAGAGUCAGGCCUGGUUAGCACUUAUUUUGACAAUACAUGUAAUAAAUUUUGGAGGACUGAAUGCACAAAGUC